UACGGAGGGAGCUAGCGUUAUUCGGAAUACUGGGCGUAAAGCGCACUAGGCGGCUUUGUAAGUAAGAGGUGAAAGCCCAGAGCUCAACUCUGGAAUUGCCUUUUAGACUGCAUCGCUUGAAUCAUGGAGAGGUCAGUGGAAUUCCCGAGUGUAGAGGUGAAAUUCGUAGAUAUUCGGAAGAACACCAGUGGCGAAGGCGGCUCACUGGACUGGUAUUGACGCUGAGGUGCGAAAGCGUGGGGAGCAAACA
rnacentral:rRNA from 1 species